rnacentral:rRNA from 1 species
CCUACGGGUGGCUGCAGUGGGGAAUAUUGGACAAUGGGGGGAACCCUGAUCCAGCCAUGCCGCGUGUGUGAAGAAGGCCCUCGGGUUGUAAAGCACUUUCAGUGAGGAAGAACGCCUGGUGGUUAAUACCCAUCAGGAAAGACAUCACUCACAGAAGAAGCACCGGCUAACUCCGUGCCAGCAGCCGCGGUAAUACGGAGGGUGCGAGCGUUAAUCGGAAUUACUGGGCGUAAAGCGCGCGUAGGUGGCUUGAUAAGCCAGUUGUGAAAGCCCCGGGCUCAACCUGGGAACGGCAUCCGGAACUGUCAAGCUAGAGUGCAGGAGAGGAAGGUAGAAUUCCCGGUGUAGCGGUGAAAUGCGUAGAGAUCGGGAGGAAUACCAGUGGCGAAGGCGGCCUUCUGGACUGACACUGACACUGAGGUGCGAAAGCGUGGGUAGCAAACAGGAUUAGAUACCCUAGUAGUC